rnacentral:rRNA from 1 species
GGCUUGUUGAGUAUAAUUUCAAGUCUUACCUGCCCACUGAGGUGAUUAAAUGGCCGCAGUAUAUUGACUGUGCAAAGGUAGCAUAAUCAUUAGUUUUUUAAUUGAAAGCUUGUAUGAAGGGUUUGAUGAGAAAAUUUCUGUCUCUUGAUAAAUUUAUUAGAAUUUUAUUUUUAAGUUAAAAAGCUUAAAUUUUUAUUGAAGACGAGAAGACCCUAUAGAGUUUUAUAUAUAUAUUUAUUUAUAGUGUUUGUGGAAUAUUAAAUGUUAAGAAUUUUUGUGUGUGUUUUGUUGGGGUGAUUGGAAAAUUUAAGUAACUUUUCUUUUUGUGUAAUAUUGAUUUGUAAAUGAAUGAUCCUAGGUUUUAGAUUAUAAGAUUAAAUUACCUUAGGGAUAACAGCGUUAUUUUUUUAAGAGUUCUUAUCGAAAAAAAAGAUUGCGACCUCGAUGUUGGAUUAAAAUUUAUUGCUGGUGAAGAGGCUAGUAGAUUAGGUCUGUUCGACCUUUAAAAUUUUACAUGAUCUGAGUUUAAACCGGUGUAAG